UAGCUUGUCGGAGGUGGUUUUGUUGUGUGAGUGUGGCGGCGGAAGGUAAGGGAUACGAUGGAGGUUCCAGGAUGUGGUUUAAGGCCACUUGGUCAAAGUUUAUGAGUGGCUACAGUGAGGGUUUUAAAGUGGAUGAGUUGAAGUAAAUUAACAGCGGAAGUUUAAUAAGUGAGUUUUUUUUAAGAAAUUUGAAGGAGUGAAGGUGUUGUUUGUGGUGAUAACUUGGUGGUAAAAUGUGGUGUAUGGUUGUUGUGUUUCCACUCUUUCUAAGGUGGUGAGAAUCCAACCUCAAAAUCUUAGCAUAUCCUUAAGAUUUAG
rnacentral:lncRNA from 1 species